GAGAUUCAUUCAAGUUCCUCUCUCUCCUCUCUCCAAGCUUUUUUCUCCUUUCUGAUUAUGGAGUAAUUUUCUUAGGAUAAGCUUGGGGGAUUAUCAGGAUCAUAAGUUAGAGGAUGGUUUUCGAGAUCAACUUUAAUCAAGAUGAUUAAUUCAUAUGUUUUGAUAACAGAUUACUAUUUCUUUUUCCUUUUUUCUUAGUUUUCUGGGAUCCAUUUAUUUUAAUUUUUCUUUCAUCUCUGAAUAUUUGGUUGUUUUUAGAUCUUUAUUUUCUCCUCUCUCUGUUGAAUCAGGUUCUUCCUCCUCCUUAGUUAUGGAUCUAUUGAUUCUUAUCCUUCUUCCUCCUUUUGCUUUGGAUUCUCGGUGAUUCAGGUUCUUCUUCUCCUUUGGAUCUGUUGUAUCAGUUCUUGUUUCUCCCUUUGCUUUGAUUCUUCUGUUGGGUCUGGAUUAUUUUCAUCUUUUCUCAACCUUUUUCUUCUUCUGGGUCUGAAGUUUUUUCUUCUCCUCGGUCUUGAUCUUUGUUUCUUCUACGUUUCUCUCUUUUUCUGGUUAAAUGUUCUCUUUUGACUUGAUCUUUCUCUCUUUAAUUAGUAAUUAUGUGCUCUUAUUUUAAUUCCUGAGGAGGAAAAAAAAUUUGACUCUGCUAAAAGCUUUUGAAGGAAACCCCUUCUCUCCCUAUUCGUUGGGUGUUUCUCUAAAUUCUAAAAUGAAUUUCUUAUGGUUUUAGAUAAGAAUACCAAGAUUACUCUUCCCUGUUUCCAGAUCUUUAAAAAGUCUGUCUUCAUUUCUUCUUUCUCUUUGAUUCUCUAAUCUUUGCUUUUCCUCUUUAACCAAUGAGUUACUGUUUCCUUUCUUGGAUCUUCCCGUUUUUGUGCCGGAGAAAUAUGGUAAUUUUAAAAAAAGGUUUGUUGGAUCAUUAUGUUCUCCUCUUAGGAUUUUUGGAUUUCAUCUCAAUCAUUUUCUCUUCUCUUGAUCCAUCGGAUUUUUUCAUUUAGUUCUCUAUGUUGGUAGGUUUUUUACUUUGAUUUUCUCUGCAAAUAUUUUUGGGUUUUUCUGUUUAUUUUAUUUCAAUUUAAUCAUAUAUAUAUAUAUAUAUAUAAAUCCCGUUAAUAGACCCAACUCCGUUAAUCCUAUAACAACCCCAGGAAAGUCCUACUUCAAUACCUUCUUUUCUUAAAUUGCUUCUAUCUUUUUCCUUCACUUUAGCUUUCUUUAAUCCUCUUUUAUAGUUGGUGUUGCAAGGUUUGGAAUUUUUUUGAGUGGGGUGUUUGAUUUCGAGCUCAUCUUCGGUCUGCAAAAGCAAGAGACAGGCCUUUUCCUCAAUUGGUGUUGGUUGGCUACACGGGGCCCUUUUCUCCGUUUUUUAUCUAGAUUUUACGGAUUUUAUUUUCUGUAAUAUUGAUGACAACAUUUCAAGUCCACUAGCUAGGAUUUUCUAUGAAUCUUAGGACCAAAGUAAUUUUUGGUGACGUGAUCUCUAAAAUGCUAGAUAGGUUAGUUUGCAUUUCUGCUUAAGUUGUGUUGUCCAUAAUUCUCCGCUCCUUGUCAUCUGUUCUAUUAUAUCAAUUUUUAUUUUCUGAUUUUUUUUCC